CUGUGUAUAGUGUAUAUAACACCUCGCACUUUCAAUGCGAAAAAGUAGAAUUACUACGCAGC
rnacentral:tRNA from 1 species